GGAAGCUACUUACGACUGCGGGAUUGUAAAGCAGGACGAUAAUACUACUUGAUCGGUCAGAUAUUGGAGACUAUUUGAGAAUCAAAUACAGUCAAAAUUUUCAAUUGUAGAAGUAUUAAACAUGGACCUUAACAAUUCAGACCCUGCUCCUCAUUUCAGAAUCUAAAAGGUUUUUAAAAAGUCAUUGACUUCCUUUAUCAAUGAACUUCAGACAUGAUGCAGCAGAUUUUAGAAGUUGCACUGGAUCGUGCUGAGUAUAUCAUUGAAAGUGCUCGGCAGCGGCCUCCAAAACGAAAGUAUUUAUCUAGUGGGAGAAAAUCAGUAUUUCAAAAGUUAUAUGAAUUGUAUCUAGAAGAAUGUGACAAGGAGCCUGAAAUAAAGCAGAAGCUGAGACGAAAUGUGAACUUGUUGGAGAAGCUAGUUAUGCAAGAGACGUUGUCAUGCCUAGUAGUGAAUCUUUAUCCAGGAAAUGAAGGCUAUUCCUUGAUGCUCAGAGGAAAAAAUGGCUCAGAUUCAGAAACCAUUCGGCUUCCUUAUGAAGAGGGAGAAUUACUUGAAUAUUUGGAUGCUGAGGAGCUGCCUCCUAUUUUAGUUGACCUCCUUGAAAAAUCUCAGAUUAAUAUUUUCCAUUGUGGGUGUGUCAUAACAGAAAUACGUGACUAUAGACAGUCUGGCAAUCUGAAAACUCCAACAUAUCAAAGCAAACACAUUCUUUUGCGCCCAACAAUGCAGACCUUGAUUUGUGAUGUGCAUUCCAUUACAAGUGACAACCACAAGUGGACACAGGAAGACAAACUUCUAUUAGAAAGUCAACUUAUACUGGCAACAGCAGAACCUCUGUGUCUGGAUCCAUCAGUUGCUGUUACAUGCACAGCAAACCGGCUUUUGUAUAAUAAGCAGAAAAUGAACACUCAGCCAAUGAAACGAUGUUUCAAGAGAUAUUCCAGGCCAUCUCUGAAUCACCAGCAGGAGGUGUCUCAAAGUACCGUUCCACCACAGUUCAAGCUGUUUGAUUAUUUACAAAAAAGAAAGGAAAGGAGAGGAAACCAACAGUAUGAUCUCAAAAUUUCCAAAGCUGGAAAUUGUGUUGAUAUGUGGAAACAGAACCCCUGCUAUUUGACUGCACCAUCUGAAGUAGAUGUGGAAAAAUAUGCUAAAGUGGAAAAAUCUAUCAAAGCUGAUGACUCACAACCAAGUGUCUGGCCGAUUCAUGAAAUGAAAGAUGAUUAUGUCUUUGAAUGUGAAAGUGGCAAUCAUUUUCAGAAAACAAAAUUGACAAUUUUUCAGUCACUUGGAAAUCCAUUGUACUAUGGUAAAAUACAAACUCUUAAGAAUGAUGAGGAUAAUGAAAGUCCAUCACAUUUUCUUAUUGGCUCAAAGUCAGAAGCAGAAAGAGUAGUGAACCAAUACCAGGAGCUGGUUCAAAAUGAAGCUAAAUGUCCUGUGAAGAUUUUUCAUAACUCAAGUGGAUCAAUCCAUGUCAGUCAACUUUCUCCUGGGAAGGAACUAGAACAGACUGAGGGUGUGGCAGGUUAUAUUCAGUCUUCAGUGUUGGGAAAAGGUGUGAAACACAGACCACCUCCCAUCAAGCUACCUUCAAGUUCAGCAAGCAGUUCUUCAGGUAAUAUUUUUAGUCCACAGCAGUCAAGCAGUCAUCUCAAAUCCCCAACUCCUCCUCCUCCUCCUCCUCCUUCUGCUCUUCCUCCUCCUAAGCCUCCCUGUGUAUCUCGGAAGCAAUCUCUGGAUCUGAACCAAUUGAGCCUGCUUUCUUCGGCUUCUGGGUCUCCUGCAAGUGCUUCACAAAGAUCUGGAACUCCUAAGCCAGCUAUUCCUACUCCAACCAACACCCUUUCAUCGACCCCACACCCUGCUGAUGCUCAGAGCUCAACUCUGAUUACCCAUUCUGCUACCCUUACUCCCCAAGAUUCAGGCUUCACCCCUCAGCCCACUUUACUUACCCCGUUUGCUCAGCAGCAAAUGUCUCUGGGCCAGACAUUGCCUGUAAUGACCAUUCCUCUUUCCACCAUGGUAACUUCCGUUACUACAGGAACAUCUUCCAACCAGGUCAUGACAAACACUGCAGGACUUAACUUCAUCAAUGUAGUGGGCUCUGUGUGUGGAACACAAACAUUAAUGAGUGGUUCAAGUCCCAUGUUGGGGGGUAAUACUGGUGCAGCCUCCCCUGCAGGUAUAAACCUGAGUAAUAUUUUACCAUCAGGAAAUCUGGUGCCAAAUGCACUCCCUGCUGCAAUGCAGCAUACCUCUCAGCCAGCAGGUGUUCCUUUUGGUUUAAAAAAUGCUCCAGGCCUUCGCCCAUUGAAUCUUCUACAGCUUGCAGGUGGCUCACUGAUAUUCAACCCUCUCCAACAGCAGCAACAGCAACAACAACUCUCCCAGUUUUCAUCUCAGCUGCCUACAACUUCUAGUCCUCAGCCACAGGGAGAUCAGGGUUCUGAAGAAGUUCCCCUAAACCAAGAUCAAUCCUUAUCUGCUCAGCAAACUGCUGUUGUUAACUUGACUGGAGUAGGGAACUUUAUGCAACCUCAGGCAGCAGUUCUUUCCCCAUCAAAUGGUUAUGGCACUAGCAGCAUAAGCAGCUCUACUACAUCAUCAUCUAGGCACGCAGUCAAAAAGUAAAAAGAAAAAAAAAGCUUCACUGAUAUCAGACUCCUGAAACUUGCAUUUGAGAGAGAUAUUGCUUAAACAAAUAAUAUUUUCCUGAACUGAGCUGCUUUUUUAUUGCAGUGCCGCACUAUCCCUGAAAAAUGCUAACCAAAGCUAAGGUCAGCUCUGUGACUUUAGUUGCUGCCUAUAAAUGAAAAGACUUUAAUUACUUUCACAUCUUCAGCUUUUCUUUGCCUCCUAAGCAGCCUCAGUGGACUAGGCAUACAGCUGGUGCUAGGGCAUUCUUUUUGAUGUGUAUUCCCUGUUUAGUCUCUUGUAAUCCCUUCCUUUCCAAAGAAUGUAAAUACAAAGAUUAAUCCCCUUCUUGCUAAUUAUCCUAGCACCAGGGUGCAUGCUUCAAAGGGGGAGGGGGGAUGCUAAGGUAACAUUGUAAACAUGAUUUUUCACUUGGUGACCUCAUCACUUGAUGACUGAAUUGCUGGCCCCAAUUGUAGUUGCUAAAUGAGGAACAUCUGGACAGCAAAAACAAUUUUUAUGGAUGUUUAAAUAAAUCUCCCUCCCUCUGCUCACAUCAUGUUUUUUGGAAGUACUUGAAGGCUCCAAAAGGAAGAGGCAGCCAAGUAUUCUUUGCUAGUAUAGCUGCUCAUAAAUCUGGGAUUAUCUAAUAAAAUGGUAUUGUCUAUCGUAAUCUACACAUACACUUUUUGAU